GUAAAUUGACCUACUGUAUGUGAACUACUGUACAUGACCUUUGUCACUGUGAGACUAGGUGUAUUAUGUAAAGAGGCCUUAAUGUGUGUUGGAAAAUUGUUUGGACUGUAAAUUAAUGACAUCACUAGACAGCUCAGAUUCUCAGAAACAGAAAAGAAGGUGUUGCAUAUGAGCUGCUUUAAAAACCUGCCAGCUUCAGACCCACACCAUAAACACACACAAAGAAACAGAGAGAGAGAGAGAGAGAGAGAGAGAAAUAGCUGUAAACACAGAUCUGACCGUCUGUGAUAGAGUCAUGUCUAUGUCCCCGGUGUCGGGACUGAAGGAAGCUGGCCUGCGUAACACAGGGCUGCUCAACAAGACCUCUCCACCCUUCUCCAGCAUGGGAGAAAUCAAAAACUUCACAGUGCCGAGUUUGGACCUGGACAGCUUUCUGUCGGUGAAGGUUAAAAUCCGUCAUGAUGGGCUGUUGGACUCCAGCCUGAAGACCAACUUGGAGUACGCCAUGCAGACCCUGGAUGCCUUUCCUGCACCGAAGCGGUACGACGCCUCUCUCACCGUGGAGGGUGAGCGACAGCUGGUGCGCAUUACGGCCGGAACACCAGUCCUGCUCUACAGUGUCCGUUUGGGCCCUAAAGGACCAGAGCUGUACCAGAAGGUUCUGGUGGGGGCCCGACUCACUCCGUCAUGCCUGAACGAUGGCCACUUCGCGGGGCAUCAGUGCCAGGACGAGCUGGAGAGUUGCAUGGACCAGGCCAAAUGUAUUCUGAACCACGAGGUCCAGAACAACCCCACAGGCCUAAGCGAUGUGGAGCUGAGGAUAUCCUGUGGGGAGCUGCGCCUCACCUACCUUACCCAGCAGCCCCAGCGCAGUCUGGUGGUGCAGCCACGUCGUAGGGCCUACCUGGGCAAGACACUGAACCUGGAGAAGGUUCUAGAGCUGAAGACGCGUCUGGAGCGGUCAGGGGUCAUGGGGAAAGGUCUGCUGGCUUGCUUCCAGCACCUGCUGCUCCACUACACUACGUUUCAGGAGGAGAACUGUCGCCUCGUUCUUCAGAGCGAUGGUGAGAUGCUGGAGCUGGUCUACGGAAGGCCCGACUACCACAGCACCCAGCAUUACAUCUUCACAGACAGCCAAAACCAGGCCUACAGCCACAGGGUGCAGGACAUUGACUUGUGGGAGUAUGACUAAGGAGGUCAUUAGGUUUCUGUAUUGAAUUGAAAUAUCAUCUUACAUAAGAUCUAAAAAAAGAAUCAGUAGGUGUUAGAUUUCGUGACUUAUUCAUGCUGUACCCAUUUAUACUAUCUAGAAGCAAGUGUAUAUCACAAUACCUACAUUCAGAGUUUUAUUAAUAUAUAUAUUCACCCUCAGGGGCGGAUCUAGCCAUUUUGGGGCCCUAGGCAAAAUAUAAACAAGGGGCCCUCAUUCUUAAAACACACACAUAAACCAAAUAACUAGAGAUGGAACGAUCGAUCGGCAGUGUAUCGGUAUCAGACCAUUUUCAGCCAAAAUUCAGUAUCGGCGAUCGGCAGAUAUUCUUCUGAUUUUAGCCGAU
ensembl:lncRNA